rnacentral:misc_RNA from 1 species
AAUUAGGAAGAAAUUUUGAUGAGACUGGAUUACUAAAAAUUUGAAAGAUAAGUAUAUUUUAUUUUUAAUUUAAUUUAAUUUUACUUUAAUUACCUUGAUAACGGUAGUAGAUAUAACUACCGAAACGUUGGUUCAAAUUAGGUAUUUUUAAAAAAAGUAGGUCUUCUUGUUGUUUUUUAUCGUUUUUUAAUUAUAAUAUUCAUAACAAAGUUAGGUAGGAUAUUGAAAAGAAGAAACGAGCUCAGAGAUUAAUAGAUUGAACCUCAGCUCCUAGGUAUAUAAAACUAAAAAAUCUAUUAUACCUCAAGUAAAUUAUUGUAUUUAAAACUUAUUGAACUUAAAUUAAAUUAAGUAUAUCGAACGGUAUCGUUACAGAUUUAAGUUCAUAUUUCUUUUAAAUACGUGAAUAAGUCUAUUUUCUUCUUCUUUUCAAUAAUUGUUGAGCGUGUGAGAUAAAAAUUUCUAAAUUGAUUUUUGCUAUAAGUGACGUAAUACCCAAUAUAAUAAGUAACUCAUUAUGAAUUCGUCACAACAAUACAGAUUUUACAAAUUGUUUAGUGGAAAUAAAAUGUUCCUAUAAUAUUUGCAAAAUGAAUCCAAUGCAGGGUAUUCAAGAAAAUAAAAUAAAAUUUGCUCAGUUUAUAGAAUAUGGAUGAUAUCUAAAACGCAAUCAUAACUAUUAUUUUCAAAUACAGGGUCAACUAGCACUAAGUAGUUGAGGAGAAGGUAAUUUAUCAACGUGAAUUUUGUAAUGAAAUUAUAUGUAUUAUAUGUAAAAUUUUGAAUAUAGUGGAUUUUAGUUUUUAUGGUAAUGUUUCUGAGAAAAUUAAAAAAAAUAAUCUUAGAAACUUUGAAAUGAAUAGUAUAAGAAUUACCUAUUUCUUAAAAGUUGAGGCCUCCCUUUUUUCAUGUAUUUAUUUUUAGUUUACUUUUAGAUCUCUUAUAAUGCACAAUUUUGGCAUGAAAAAAAUGGUUCCAAAACUGCGAGUAUUUUACGAAAAUUUCGUUUUACCUAAACUUGUUGACCCUACAUCGAGAAGGAUUACCCAUACGGGAUAAAAUAGUGGUAAAAAAAUAUGUUAUUAGCCCAGAAUAAUAAAUACAAAAAAAAAUUGUAAUAUUUUAUUUGUCUAAGUUUGAUACCAUUCAAAAUUUCCUAAAACAAAUGUCUUCGACAACCUACUAACAUCUUUUUAUCCCAUAGUUUUAGCCUCGCCUAAGGACAUCAGCUUCUAGCUGCCAAAAUUCCAAAUAUUUGUAAUAAAUUACCUUCCUUCAAAAUACUUAGGUAGUUUAUUUUUUUACUCUAUACGCAGAGGGUAUCCCUAAUUUGAGACUCACGAUUAGAAAAUCAGUAACUACUAUAAGGUAUAAGGUAUUCGAAGUUGGUUAAAUUAGUGCAAAGUUUUUUAAAAAACACAGUUUUGAGCCCAAUAAAAUGCCAAUUAAAGUUUUAAUUAGGAUAAAAACCAAAAUUUUAAAAAUAGGCCUAGAAAAAAGUAAAAUGGAUUUCGUGAAACUUUGCCCUAAUUUAAUCAUUUUUGUAUAUUUUAUAUACAUAUUACUGAGGUCCCAAUGGCCAAAUUUGAAACACCCUGUAUACUUAAAAUUUUACUUGUCUAUCCCAUCAGUAAUUAAUUUUCUUCAUGUUCAUUCAUUUAAUGAAAUUAAAAGUUGUUUUUAAAAUGUAAAACAAUGUUUCAUUUUUUUUAAACGUACAAGUAAACACGUAAAAUCACAGGUAAAAUAUAAAAAAUCCUAUACGUCUAACAAAAAAUGAGACCAGUUGACUAACGUCCCUAGUCGCGAGAUUCCAUGUAUUGUUGUCGAACAGUGAAACGAUGCGCUGGCGGCGUUGCGACUUCGAGCUAAAGCGGCUCCCGACACAAAAAUACGACAGGGCUGCAAAACUGACAUACCCUGCGAUCUCUAAUUGCCAAUAUAGACCCGCAUUGAGCUUAAUUCCACUCCUAUAGAUGGCGUUGAGGCCAUUAAAAAAAAGAUUAUGCAACCUUUAGCACUUUGCGAAAGGGGUGACGAAAACAAUGUCAAAAUGGCGAUUUGUUCAUUUGUUGACAUUGGCACUGUUAUUUUGCAAUAAUCGUGUCUUGUGUUUAGUGAUUUUCUGUGAUUUCGGCAUUGUUUUGUGUGUUUUAAAUUCAGAAAGACUUAAUAUAUACUUAUUUAUUUGCACUGCAUUUGUAAAUUUGUAGGUAGGUAUUAUAACAUUAAUUUAUCUUAUGCGUUAUGCCAGUUUAUCUUGAUUAUAAUAUAUACUAUCAUGAAUAUGAUAUGAAUUGUAUAAAUGUUAAAUCAUUUGAAAUAACCUAUUCAAAAGAUAUAAGUGGUCUUAAACGAAAUUCGUUCUUGUAGGUAUAGUAUCUUGUAUAAUAUCCUGCUGUUAUUUACUUGUUAUUAAUUUUCAAAGAGAUAUUAAUAAUAUACAAACGAUUAACCACACACUUCAAUUAAAUACAUAUUAAUGUUUUAUUGUUUGUAUGAGUAAAAAAAUAUAUUAGUAUUAAAGGAAAAGAAAAUAUUUAAAUUUGCUUGGCUUCACACAUUCUACCUUGAUUCCUGUUUACAAAUAAGAAGCACCUCGAGCACUUAAAAUGUUUUUUUUUUUUAAUGUUUUGUAUCUUAAUUGUAGGUUGAAUUAUAAUCAUACCAUCAGCUCCUUGUUCCGUAGAUGGCUGCUAUAAGAGCACCCAAUCUAAACAUCGCUUUCCCAACCCAUCUAAGAACAAACCCAUUUUUAAUAAAUGGGUGAAUUUAACAGGAAACAAACGAUUGGUAUUAGAAAUGACACCUGAGAAAAUCUACAAUAAUUGCAGAAUUUGCGCUUUACAUUUUCUGCCCCAAGACUUUGGUGCUAAUAAAAUACUCAAAAAAGAUGUUUUGCCCUCACUCAAUUUACCAGGUCUCUUGGAACCACUUGAGGUAAUUUGCAAAGCAGAAAAUACAGUUAUAAUAAAGUAUACUAAUAAAGUGACUGUAGAGGCAGAAUCUGAACCCAGCACCAGUAAGGAAACGUUAUUACAGACAUUUGAGAGUUCAUCUGUAAAAACCAGUGGUUAUGGUAUAUCAUUACCUGCCCCCACAUUAAAUCCGGUAGGAGCAUCCUCAAAUAAAAGAAGUAAGCCAUUGUUCAUAACUUAAAUAUUAUUACUAUCUGAAUAUCACAACCUAUUCUUUUGUUAUCACUGUUAUUCACAAUGAAAAAUCCAAAUUUUUAUGAUAGAAUUUAUUAUAAGUUGACAAUUAAGCCAUAUUAUACUUUUAGUUUUAUUAAUUAAGUGAUAUCUAAUGUAAAAAAAUCAAUUUUUUAAUUGACAGAAGUAGGAUUUUCUCAUAAUAAGAAUACUUUUUGUUAGGAUUUACUUAGUUAACUUCAAAAACUUAGUUAUAAAAGAUGUUAUACUAUCUUUGACAAGUGUGGAUGAAUAUAGAAAUUUGGAAUAUUUCUGUAAUUUUUGAAUAAUUACUUACAAAUUAUUAAUAUUGAAUUUAAAUUAGGCCGGUCUACACUACUCUCUGAAGUGAAUGUUUCACAAGUAAAAGAUCUAACUCCAAAAGCCAGGCACCUUUACAAAAGAGCAGUACAAUUUAAAAGGCGAGCUGCUUUGUCAAAAAAAAGUAGGCUAUCAUUUAAACAGAGACUCUGUGCUUCAGAGAAGUUUGCUUCAUCUGACAUUUUCAAAAAAUGUGUUUCGAGUAUGGACCGUAUUCGGGCAAGAUUUUUCCAAUGUCAAUUUGAGAAUUCUGACAGAAAACCAAAGGGUAGACGGUACACACUUGAAGAUCAGGUACUCGCAUUAGCUUUGUAUAAACAAACUGGCUCUGGAAACCAUUUCUUAUCAAAGUUCUUUGCAUUACCAUCAAGAAAAACAGUUAUGAAGCUCCUUAAAAGGAUUCCAAUCUGUCCAGGCAUACAUGAGCAAGUUUUUUCAGUUUUAAAAGCUGAAGUGAAAAACUUUAAGAAGCCCCAGGAUAAACAUUAUGUCCUAAUGUUUGAUGAAAUGAGCAUUCAGUCAAAUCUACAACCAAAUUACCAUGAAGAAAAAAUAAUAGGUUUUGAAGAUUUGGGUUUUAGACAAACUCAAGAUAUUUCUUCAAUCAAUUUCAAAUCAUGCUCAGGUAAGAUUGUCAUAGGUUUUCUAUGUUAUUUGUUUUGAAACAAUUUUUCAUUAAUUUUUGUUGCUUCAUUAAAUUAUUAAAAUUGCUUGAUACAAGAUGUGUUAGAUCUAUUGCUGGGCCGAGUUACCAAAAUUGCUGCUGGCAGCAUUUUAGGAGCCUUGCAUCCAAUACAAACUUACAUUUCCCAGUAUAUAUUUAUAUGUACCAUUGUUAGUUUACAUUGUUAAUAACAUCUCCCAGUAUAGUAAACACUAAAAUUCACCAUUUUAAUAUCAGGCAUAACAGAAACAUUAUGACUGCAUUUCAUAUGCUUUUGAGGAUCAGGGGUGGUUCUGAUUAAUUGGUUCUGAUUAUUUUCUAAGUUAACAAAUUUACAAAAAAAAACUUACUUUUAAAACGUAAAUGUACUAACUAGAAACUUAAGUACCAGUUCUAAAGUAGGUAGAAGUUGUGGUGUAAAUUAGGAAUUUAUAACAUAUUCCAUUUCCUUAAACAUGUGAUUUAAAUUUUAGAAAUAUGUUGUUUUGAUAUUAAACGAAUUUAAAUUGUAAACGUGUAAUAACCUUUAUUUAAUCUUUGAGAUUUUCGAUAUAUGUAACUAUUAUACUUAUAUUAUAUAAGUAUGUAACUAUUAUAUAAAUUAUAUGCUUAAUAUAUGAAGUGUUUUUUCAAUUAUUCAGUUUUUAAAUAUUAAAGCAAUGGGAGUAAAGCGGAGUCCGCCAAAACAUUUGAAAAGCCCGCUUAAAAUGGCGAGAUCUUGCGUAGCGCGCCAUCUAGUAAUAACAGAUGUACACCAGUACUUUAUUCCAGACCGAUAGAUGGCGCUAGGUGUAGCAAAAUAAUGCUGACAUCUGCAUUAACAAGGAAGAGUCCAUUCUAUUUACGUCUUUAUCUAUGAAAACUGAUUUGAUCACGUGGUGGAGCGCGAGUUGCAUCCCUAAAAUAGCUGAUAUUUACAUUAAAUACCACGCCUUUACUACUAGAUAAGGCAAGGUUAUAAAUAUAAGAUAAAUGCAUUUAGUAGUACUUCAUUGUUUAGCUCAACCUAUUUUCUGUAUUUUGUUAAACCCCGAUUUUGAUUUUCUUUAAUUUUGUUUCACGAACGAAUCCUCCCUAAAUAAAUUUGUUACUCAUACGAGGUAUUUUAAAUAAAAGUUUUUUUUUUAAACUUUGUUACCCUCGGCCCAUACGUAACUCGCGCUCUUUAGCAAAGGGCAGACGAGAGAUUAGAAAAGAUAAUUUUUCAUAUUCAUAAUUUAAUUUUAUUUACCUUGAUAACAGUAGUAGAUAUAACUACCGAAACGUUGGUUCAAAUUAGGUAUUUUUAUUAAAUAAGUAGGUUUUCUCAUUGUUUUCAAUUUCACGUGACGUAAUACCCAACAAAAUAACUAACUCAUUAUGAAUUCGAUACAACAAUACAGAUUUUACUAUUUGAAACCAUCUUUAUUGGUUUCAAAUAGCCUCAUGUACUUUAAACUUUGUCCCCUGUAUAUUAAUCCGUAUUCUGUAAGAGGCUAUACAAUGUGUCCAAAAAGUAUGGAAAAAUACCUUUGACAGGUAAGCGAGUUACCUGGUUGAGAAAUGCUUAGAUACGCCAAUUCCCUUUUAUUUUUUUGAAUGUUUUCAGAUUUCUAAAAAAUAUACAGGGUUCGUCAAGAAGACUGGAUUAUAAAUACUCCAUUUAUUAAUGCAUUUUUGAAUUCUAUCAUAAAGUCAAAACAUAUUUCAUGUAUAAGACUCUAUACCAAUCUUGAACUCUUUUCGAAAUAUCAACAACUGAAAAUCAAAAUGUUUAAAAACUUUACCAGGCUGUAAAAUCAAAAUGAUUUAAGUUGAAGAAAUAAAUACUGGUUGCACUAUCCUAUCUUAGUUUUCACAUGCUAUUGUUUAAUAUCAACUUCAGAUUUAACUAAAGUUUAAAUAAAAAAACAAAUGUCUAGUUUCAAAAUGUCAAUCAAUUAACGCCCUUCUUUAAUAAAGUUAUUGUUAUAGAAGCAAAACUAUUUAAUUAAAUGUUAGAAAUGCUUUCCUUGCACUUUCUGACAAUACGCAAGGUUGAAAUAAAAUUUCUCAAAAACGUUUCCAAUCAUUUCUUAUAUAAUUUAGCCAGCUUCAGUUAUUAUGCGUUGUUUUAAUUUGACUAAACUUUUAGGUUUAGUGAAAAAUACUCUAUUUUUCAAAUAAUCCCAAAAAAAGUAAUCUAAAGGAAAGAGGUCUGAAGUCCUAGCCAUUAGUCCUAGCCUAGGCCAUUCUAUGAUACCCCCUGCCUAUGCAUCUAUUUGGAAAAGUAUAAUUUAAAGGAGGAGCUCUAUCUUGUUGAAACCAUACUUGUAUGUAUUUUCGACCGGCCUAACGUCUAAUUUCAAUAACUAUGCGGUUUUGAAGCAUUUCCGAAUACUUUACAGAAGUCAGAUUUUCCUCGGGCCAAUUAUGUGGAUUCCAAAUAUCGCAGCCUACACAUUCACUUUUUGGGGCUGGUGGGUUUGUACUUCCCACAUUCAAUGUGGAUUUUCAUUGGUCCAGUAUCUGCAAUUUUGCCGGUUUAAAAUGCCAUGAAACAUAAAUGUAACUUAAUCUGAAAACACAAUGUUACUUAAUAAAAAAAACAUCUUUCAGAAGUUCUUGCCCCAAGUGAAUUUUAUGACGACGGAAUUUAUUUUGUUUUAAAAUUUUUUUAACCGAUGAUUUAGGCAUUCCAAUUUAUUGAGCGAUUUUUCGCAACGAACUGUGGGGAUUUUCAACGAAACAUUAAAAACUUCCAAACUUCUUUCAUCAUUUGUUUAGGAUUUUGGCCGACCAGAUAUAGUCCUUUCUUUAUUGCUGUCGUCGAACCUGUUUACUAUUAUCUGAGCCGUUGAUAAAGUAAUUAGAUUUCGAUUUGGAAAUUAAUCACUAAAAGUUUAUAUUAUAUUAUAUUAAUAAUAACGUUAAUAAAUUAGCGACCUCUUAUGGUCUAAUACCUCUAUAACUCCUUAACCCAUUAACCUUAUUAUUAUAAUUUUUUCUCUUUCAUUUAAUUGAGCCAUUUUGAACAAUAUUAAACUUUGCGAAAACGUCAAAUCUAAAUGUCCCGCCUGCCAUCUGAGACACAAAAAAGUAUCGAGAGUUGAAUAAUUUAGAUUUUAAUUCAUUUCAAUUUUUAUUGUUGGUAUUUCAAAAACAGUUCAAGAUUGAUAUAGGGUGUUACAUAGGGUAGUAUACACGAAAUGUGUUUGGAAUUUAUCAUAGAAUCCAAAAAUGCAAUAAUAAAUGGGGUGCUCUAUUUAAAAUCAUAAAGCUGCCCAGUCUUCUUGACGCAUCCUGUAUAUUUUUCAGAAAUCUGAAAACAUGCAAAAAAAUAAAAGAAAAUUGACGGUUCGAGCGUUUUUUAACCAGAUAAUUCGUUAAAAGGUAUUUUUCCACAGUUUUUGGACACACUAUAUACUUUUAUCCAGUUAUUAAAUAAAAUUUUUAAUUUUAUUUAUUAAUUAGUUAUAAUGAGCAUAACUUGAUGAUACUAAUAAAUCUUUAGGCAUAUAAUACAAUUAACUGUAUAAGAAAUGUAACUUUCCAAUAUUUCUAGCACUAUACUAAGAGAGUUAAAGCAAAAACUACAACAAGAUAAUUUUGAUCGAAUAUUUUCAUUUGCACUGAUUAUCUUAAAUUGUGUCAAAGAAACACAACAAUUUAAGACCUUAAAAACUCUUUUCUCAGAUGAGUUGGCAUAUAAAAUACAAGAGAUUUUAACCAGAGAUGAUGGUUAUGAACUAAAAAUUAAGCUUCUGGACAAUUUCCAUACAUAUCAGGAACAUCUAUUUUUAACAGAAGGUUUUUUAAAGACGUUGUCUUUAAUAAGUCUAUCAAAUUUAAAAGAACGUGAAAAUAAAAGAGUUGCCAGACAUGUUAAAAGUCAACGUUUAGAUAAACUUAAAAAUUAUAUUAAAGAUCUUCAAAAUGAUAUGCGGCUAUCCGAGUUUCUUAUUCAAAAUUUUAAUGAGAGCGAAAGUAAGUAUAAUGAAAGUAAUAGUUUUUUAACUACAUUAGAGAAAUGGAUGAUAAAAGGAUGUAGUAUACUCUAUAUGUCUACAAAAGAAGAACUUAACGUAGAAAUGCAGUCAUCAGCGUUCUCAAUCAAAAAAAUUAAUGAUAAAGAAGGAAGUUUAUUAUCAAUACCGCUGGUAAGCGAUACGUGGAUGCUAAGAGGAUAUGUAAAAUUAAAUUUAGAUGAUAUGAGAAAUCAGAGCUGCAUCGGAUUAGUAGCAUUUAAAGAGCUUUUUGGACGUUCCAGUGUAUUUGGUGUUUUUAUAUAUGAUCCUGUUUAUGGAAAAAUUCUGGAUGCUAAUAGUUCCUUAAAAAAUGUAACACUGUUUUUGCCUAGAGGAGACAACGCACAAUAUCAAGAAUGUUUUAUGCAUUUUAAUGGCCAGACUAAAUCUUCUCCUCAUCUAAAUAUAAAGCAUAAUGAGUAUUUUAUAGAAUGUCAUUAUUUUAAAUGGGGUUUUUAUUAGCCAAAAAAUAUCCUAUUUUCAAUGUUAGUGGCAUUUGUCAUACUUUUCUACGUCAUAAGGAAACUCACGUUAUACCCACCUCCAAAUAUGUCAUUAGAUAAUUUACAAUACAAUUAUUUCCAUGCCGAAGCGGUAGAGUUAUUGAAAUAAAUGUUAAUAAAAGUCAAAUAUAAAAAAAGUGUUUUUUUUUCUAAAGGUGCAAACAAACCAAAUGCAUCGCGCACUUCAAACAAUCUGCAACAAAAAAUUUUGCUCGGAGCUUUCCGGCUAUUUGCGAUGUUUGGUUGUGUUCCGAUCAGUGAUCAACAAAAGGCACGGAAUCGACUGAACACCUGCAAAUAAAUAAAUUCUCGCAAAAUCCAUUUACCGACAAUCCUCCGAAAAUAUUUUGUGCGUUCUGUUCUGUUCGGCGCAACGUACUCACUAGACAAAUUUGUUACAGCGCGCGCGGCGUGUUUGGUUUGUUUGGACUGUUUUGUUGCAAGUCAAUAUGCACCUUAAUCAAACUGAAAAUCCCUGCCUGUUACUUUUUAAAAUAUAAAAUAAAACAUAUCAUAUACAGUGCUUUCAUUUCAAAACGAUCCACACUUCCACACUUAAUAACUUUCUUAUAGAUAAUUUUACUCUUUGCAGCGUAAAAUUAUCUAUUCAACGGUACCAAAAAAAAUGAAAUCGGUAAAUGUGUAAGCAAAUAGUUAGCGAAAAUAUCUAGAAAUAAUGAAUAUUUUAUUUACGCCAAACUUUGGUAGUUUAAAUGAAUACUUUAAGUAUGGUACCUACAUCAUUUUAAAAUUCUUACAUUUUUUUAAUAGAUCAUCAAAAAAAAACACAAGCGAAUUGACGACGAUCCCCAUUUAUUGAAGAACAUUUGCUUCAGUCACGAAUCGACCUUUUUUUUAAAUGGCCUGGUGAAUAGACAUAACUGUAGAUACUGGGAUAAUGAAAAUCCGCAUGUUUUACGGGAAGGCCAUAUCCUCAAAAAAUUAUUGUUUGGGCAGGAAUUUACGAAAAUGCAAUACACACUUCCAUCAUCGAAUCUAUGGAAAAUCAAGUGGAUCAACAUGGUGCUAUAUUAUUGAAUGAAAAUAAUAUACAUUUUCAGCUACACUUUGGUAGUUCGAGAGUGGCUUGAUGAAAAUUUUCGAGAAAAUUGGAUUGGCAGACGUGGUGCAAUCGAAUGGCCUGCGCGGUCUCCGGACCUACCCCACUAGACUUUUUUCUCUGGGGCUACUUAAAAAGCAAAGCUUAUAAAACCCCACCUGAGAGUAUUGAGAAUUUAAAAAAUAGAAUAUUUCAAGAAUGCAGAGAAAUUAGCGGGCAGACCCUUGCCAAUGUUCGUAAGGAGUUUGAAAAUAGGCUUUUUUAUUGUCUUGCUAAUAACGCCGCGCAUUUUGAACAUUUAAUAAAAUAAAUUUGUUAAACUAAUUAAAUUUGUUUUUCUACCCUACCGAUUGACACUUUAAUUGCUUCUUGGUCAAUCAAUUUAAUUUUUUUUUACAACCAUUGAUAA